rnacentral:tRNA from 1 species
CAGAAAAUAGUUUAUAUAAAAUAUUAAUUUUGGAGAUUAAAGAAAAAUAGAUUUAUUUUUUUCUGA